CACUAUGGCCAUGCCACCCCGAAUGUGCCCGAUCUCCUCUGAUCUCGGAAGCUAAGCAGGGUCAGGCCUGGUUAGUACUUGGAUGGGAGACCACGUAGGAAUACCAGGUGCUGUAGGCG
rnacentral:rRNA from 1 species